GACGUAGGGCGCAAGCGUUGUCCGGAUUUAUUGGGCGUAAAGGGCUCGUAGGCGGUUUGUCGCGUCGGGAGUGAAAAUCCAGGGCUUAACUCUGGACUGGCUUCCGAUACGGGCAGACUAGAGGUAGGCAGGGGAGAGCGGAACUCCUGGUGUAGCGGUGGAAUGCGCAGAUAUCAGGAAGAACACCGGUGGCGAAGGCGGCUCUCUGGGCCUUACCUGACGCUGAGGAGCGAAAGCGUGGGUAGCGAACAGG
rnacentral:rRNA from 1 species